rnacentral:rRNA from 1 species
AUUGAACGCUGGCGGCAUGCCUUACACAUGCAAGUCGAACGAUGGGCGGACGGGUGAGUAAUGUAUGGGAAUGUGCCCACUAGAGGGGGAUAACUACUGGAAACGUUGGCUAAUCCCGCAUACCAUCGGAUUGGCCCAUAUGGGAUUAGCUAGUUGGUGGGGUAAAGGCUCACCAAGGCGACGAUCACUAGCUGGUCUGAGAGGAUGACCAGCCACACUGGGACUGAGACACGGCCCAGACUCCUACGGGAGGCAGCAGUGGGGAAUUUUGGACAAGGGGGGAAACCCUGAUGCAGCCAUCCCGCGUGGAUGAAGAAGGCCUUCGGGUUGUAAAGUACUUUUGGCGGGGAGGCGGUAACUGCAGAAGAAGCACCGGCUAACUCCGUGCCAGCCGCCGCGGUAAUAC